GCCUGGAUGGCUCAGUCAGUUAAGCGUCUGACUUCAACUCAGGUCAUGAUCUCCCAGUCCGUGGGUUCGAGCCCUGCGUCAGGCU
rnacentral:tRNA from 1 species